AGUUCUGGUCCGUUGGUGAUUAUCUUCCGGACAACAAGAGGCAUCAACAUGGCUGUCCCAACCGGGAGAUCUGUGGUCUUCGUGACUGGAAACGCAAAUAACCUAGAAGAGCUAGCAGAAUGGUUCACAAGAACCGACAUUCCAUGUAGAAAAGCCCUACUGUGAACAUUAAACGUUGCAGCGUGUGCUGUUUAUUAGAGGCUUUACUUUGGCUCUGGCAGCCAACCCAUGUGAAUGCAUGGAAAUGACUGACGGGGAAUGUGGUGGUGGUUUUAGAUUACACUUGCACAGAUCAAAUGGUUUGAUAGCUGUUAUUAGCCGAUAAAAUAGAGUACGGUUCACCACCUAGAUUACGGAGACAUCAUUUAUAGAUCGGCAGGGGAUUCAGAUCCUGGGGGACAAGUUUCCCUACAAACUAGUGUCCAAGAAGAUUGACUGUGAGUACACCUUAUCACUGGUUCCUGAAUAAACUGAAGCCAGAAGGAUCCUAUGGUUCCAAUGAUGAACUUAGCCUUAAGAUGCCUUUGGGCAUCGGCCCAGGUCAGUUUAAGAUGCUGGCUGGGUUUGAGGACAAGUCAGCCUGGGCUCUGUGUACCUUUGCCUUCUGUCCAGGGAAAGAGGAACCGGUACAACUCCUCAGAGGGAUAACUGAGAGGACCUGAGCCCUAGGACCAUGCCUCAGGACUACCUGGCAUGAUGACUACUUGCUGUCCCCAGUCCACCUGGCCGUGCUGCUGCUCCAGUUUUAACUGUUCUGCCUGCGGCUAUGGAAUCCUGACCUGUUCACCGGACGUGCUACCUGUCCCAGACCUGCUGUUUUCAACUCUCUAGAGACAGCAGGAGUGGUAGAAAUACUCUUAAUGAUCAGCUAUGAAAGGCCAACUGACAAUUACUCCUGAGGUGCUGACUUGCUGCACCCUCGACAACUGCUGUGAUUAUUAUUAUUUGACCAUGCUGUUCAUUUAUUAACAUUUGAACAUCUUGGCCAUGUUCCGUUAUAAUCUCCACCCGGCACAGCCAGAAGAGGACUGGCCACCCCUCAUAGCCUGGUUCCUCUCUAGGUUUCUUCCUAGGUUUUGGCCUUUCUAAGGAGUUUUACCUAGCCACCGUGCUUCUACAUCUGCAUUGCUUGCUGUUUGGGGUUUUAGGCUGGGUUUCUGUACAGCACUUUGAGAUAUCAGCUGAUGUACGAAGGGCUAUAUAAAUCCAUUUUGAUUGGAUCUUUUCACAAAUAGUUUAAUGAGUAAUCACAUACGUUUCACAAUAUUUAGAUGUAAACCUGACAGCUGGGAAAUGUACAGGGAGCCACAAUCUACACCCAGAAAGGGCCACAUCAUGACACUAUUUUGACGAAUCUCAAAUAUAAAAUAUAUUUUGAUUUGUUUAACACAUUUUUUUGGUUACUACAUGAUUCCGUGUGUGUUAUUUCAUAGUUUUAAUGUCAUCACUAUUAUUCUACAAUGUAGAAAAUAGUCAAAGUAAAGAAAACCCCUUGAAUGAGUAGGUGUCCAUACUUUUGACUGGUACUGUACAUGUCUUUUAUCUGAACUGUUACAUUGUAGAGCCUAGAGGCCCAGAGACUUUGGAUGGGACCCCUGUUUCCAGGCAGACUGAUACGACAAAACAAAAGCAGGACUUAAUGCAGGACAUUUAUUUUACUGGGUUUAUGCAUCACACUUUACCUGUCUUUUAUUGAACCAAUUGACAGAAACUAAUGAUAGUGAUUGUUUCACUGAUGAUUAGUAAGUUCUCUCUCUCUAUCAUCCCUGUAGUUAUGCUGAGCUACCCAAGGAGGUGAGGAACACCAUUUCCCAUCGGUAUCAAGCUCUGGCAGCCAUGUCUGAACACUUCUCCUCUCAGGACAAUGGCACACCAGACAGCAAGAAGAAGAAAUGGCUAUUAACCACUGAUCUAGCAUCAGAUCACAUAACCAUUAGAGGGAUACAAAAUCUGACCCUGUAUCAGUGGUGGGGCAACUUCUACCUACUCUGACUUAUGGGUAUCAGAGUCUGAGCCAAUCAAACAGUUCUGAUGUUGAUUUUAGAUAGUGGUGCUUUUGAUACAGUGCCUUCAAAAAGUAUUCACACCCCUUGACUUUUUCCACAGUUUGAUGUGUUUCACAUGGGAUUAAAAUUGAAAAGGAAUUGUCAACGAUCUACACAAAAUACUCUACAAUGACUAAGUUGAAGAUUUUUUAAAUCAAUUUAUAAAACACAAAACACUAAUAUAUCUUGAUUCGAUAAGUAUUCAACCCCUUGAGUCAAUACAUGUUAGAAUCACCUUUGGCAGUGAUUACAACUGUGAGACUUUCUGGGUAAGUUUCUAAGAGCUUUGCACACCUGGAUUGUACAAUAUAUGCAAAUUAGUAUUUAAAAAAAUUCAAGCUCUGUCAAGUUGUUAGUUGAUCAUUACAACACAGCCAUUUAAAUCUUGCCAUAGUUUUAAGUCAAAACUGUAACUAUGUCACUCAGGAACAUUAAAUGUUGUCUUGGUAAUUGGCCUUGUGUUUUAGAUUAUUGUUCUGAAAAUAUGUAGAAUGGUGCUGUAGUGUUGGAUUUGCCCCAAACAACACUUUGUUUUCAGGACAUAAAGUUAAUUUCUUUAGUACAUUUUUUGCAGUUUUACGUUAGUGCCUUAUUGUAAAAAGGAUGCAUGUUUUGGAAUAUUUUUUUUGGUACUGGCUUUCUUCUUUUCACUCUGUCAUUUAGGUUAGUAUUAUGGAGUAACUCCAAUUUCUUUGAUCCAUCCUCAGUUUUCUGCUAUCAUAGCCUCAUUGUGAAAUCCCUGAGCAGUUUCCUUCCUCUCAGGCAACUGAGUUAGGAAGGACGCCUGUAUUAUUGUAGUGAUUGGGUGUAUUGAUACACCAUCCAAAGUGUAAUUAAUAACUUCUCCAUGCUCAAAGGGAUGUUAAAUAUCUACUUUUUAAUAUUUACCCACCUACCAAUAGGUGCCCUUUGUGAGGCAUUGGAAAACCUUGCUGGUCUUUGUGUUUCAAUCUGUUUUUGAAAUUCACUGCUUAACUGAGAGACCUUAAAGAUAAUUUUAUGUGUGGUGUGCAGAGAUGAGGUAGUCAUUCAUGUUAAACACAAUUAUUGCAUCUGUGCAACUUAUGUGACUUGUUAAGCAUAUUUUACUCUUGAACUUAUUUAGGCUUGCCAUAACAAAGGGGUGGAAUACAAUAUUGACUCAAGACAUUUCAGCUUUUAAUUUGUACACAUUUCUAAAAACCUAAUUCCACUUUGACAUUAUGGAGUCUUGUGUGUAGGCCAGUGACACAAAAUCUAAAUUUAAUCGAUUUUAAAUUCAGUCUGUAACAUAACAAAAUGUGGGGGAAAGUGAAGGGGUUUGAAUACUUUCUGAAGGCACUCUAUAUGCUUUCCUUAAACUGGAAGAACUCAAUAUGUAUUGUGUCCUUUGUCCAACCUGGAUUAUUUUUUUUAUUUCACCUUUAUUUAACCAGGUAGGCUAGUUGAGAACAAGUUCUCAUUUGCAACUGCGACCUGGCCAAGAUAAAGCAUAGCAGUGUGAACAGACAACACAGAGUUACACAUGGAGUAAACAAUGAACAAGUCAAUAACACAGUAGAAAAAAAGGGGAGUCUAUAUACAUUGUGUGUAAAAGGCAUGAGGAGGUAGGCGAAUAAUUACAAUAUUGCAGAUUAACACUGGAGUGAUAAAUGAUCAGAUGGUCAUGUACAGGUAGAGAUAUUGGUGUGCAAAAGAGCAGAAAAGUAAAUAAAUAAAAACAGUAUGGGGAUGAGGUAGGUGAAAAUGGGUAGGCUAUUUACCAGUAGACUAUGUACAGCUGCAGCGAUCGGUUAGCUGCUCAGAUAGCAGAUGUUUGAAGUUGGUGAGGGAGAGAAAAGUCUCCAACUUCAGGGAUUUUUGCAAUUCGUUCCAGUCACAGGCAGCAGAGUACUGGAACGAAAGGUGGCCAAAUGAGGUGUUGGCUUUAGGGAUGAUCAGUGAGAUACACCUGCUGGAGCGCGUGCUACAGAUGGGUGUUGCCAUUGUGACCAGUGAACUGAGAUAAGGCGGAGCUUUACCUAGCAUGGACUUGUAGAUGACCUGGAGCCAGUGGGUCUGGCGAC